rnacentral:rRNA from 1 species
UACGGAGGGGGCUAGCGUUGUUCGGAAUUACUGGGCGUAAAGCGCACGUAGGCGGCUUUCUAAGUCAGAGGUGAAAGCCCGGAGCUCAACUCCGGAACUGCCUUUGAUACUGGAAAGCUUGAGUCCGGGAGAGGUGAGUGGAACUGCGAGUGUAGAGGUGAAAUUCGUAGAUAUUCGCAAGAACACCAGUGGCGAAGGCGGCUCACUGGCCCGGUACUGACGCUGAGGUGCGAAAGCGUGGGGAGCAAACAGG